GGCGGCGUGCUUAACACAUGCAAGUCGAACGUGAUUCAGAGCUUGCUCUGAUGAAAGUGGCGCACGGGUGAGUAUCGCGUGGAUAACCUACCCUGGUGUCUGGGAUAACAUCUCGAAAGGGGUGCUAAUACCGGAUAAGCCCACGGGAUCUUCGGAUUCUGCGGGAAAAGGUGGCCUCUAUUUAUAAGCUACCGCAUCAUGAUGGGUCCGCGUACCAUUAGCUAGUUGGUGGGGUAAUGGCCUACCAAGGCUACGAUGGUUAGCUGGUCUGAGAGGAUGAUCAGCCACACUGGAACUGAGACACGGUCCAGACUCCUACGGGAGGCAGCAGUGGGGAAUUUUGCGCAAUGGGGGAAACCCUGACGCAGCAACGCCGCGUGAGUGAUGAAGGCUUUCGGGUCGUAAAGCUCUGUCAGUGGGGAAGAAAUGUGACUGGCUAAUAUCCAGUCAUCUUGACGGUACCCACAAAGGAAGCACCGGCUAACUCC
rnacentral:rRNA from 1 species